rnacentral:rRNA from 1 species
GACGAACGCUGGCGGCGUGCCUAAUACAUGCAAGUAGGACGCACAGUUUAUACCGUAGCUUGCUACACCAUAGACUGUGAGUUGCGAACGGGUGAGUAACGCGUAGGUAACCUGCCUGGUAGCGGGGGAUAACUAUUGGAAACGAUAGCUAAUACCGCAUAAUAUUAAUUAUUGCAUGAUAAUUAAUUGAAAGGUGCAAUUGCACCACUACCAGAUGGACCUGCGUUGUAUUAGCUAGUAGGUGAGGUAACGGCUCACCUAGGCGACGAUACAUAGCCGACCUGAGAGGGUGAUCGGCCACACUGGGACUGAGACACGGCCCAGACUCCUACGGGAGGCAGCAGUAGGGAAUCUUCGGCAAUGGACGAAAGUCUGACCGAGCAACGCCGCGUGAGUGAAGAAGGUCUUCGGAUCGUAAAGCUCUGUUGUAAGAGAAGAACGGGUGUGAGAGUGGAAAGUUCACACUGUGACGGUAUCUUACCAGAAAGGGACGGCUAACUACGUG